rnacentral:hammerhead_ribozyme from 1 species
AUCAGCUGACGAGUCCUAAAUAGGACGAAACGCGCAUCAAACUGGAU